GUAGAAUCUGUCCUUAUGCUUCUCACAGAUUCUUGCGCUAGGCCUAGCCCUGAGCUCUGUUUAUCUGCCAAUAAAACUCAUUCAUUGCCUUACUGUUAUAUUUUAUGAAUUUAUUUAUUCACUUUGUUUCCCGAUUGCAGCCCCCUCCCUCCUCUCCUCCCAGUCCUAGCCUCACACCCCCUCCCCCUAUUCCACCAUUCCCUUCUGAGAAGAGGAGUUCCUCCUAUGGUUGCCAACACACACAGCUCUCCCUGGCCCAUCAAGCCGCAGCAGGAUUAAGUAUUCACUCUCUCUCCCAAAUCUGUCUCUCCCAGAUACAUCUGCCUUUCCAAAGCACCCAAAAUCCCAGCAUGGCGAGGUAGGAUGUGCACGAAGUCCCUUAGCUAAGGAGCUACUGGGAACUGAAGACUUCUGGGAAGGGGAGAGUCAGUUUUCUUUAAGAGUGCAGCACCUGGUGGGUCGGCAACUCUCCACAGCUCAAUUUUUAGUAGCUACAGGACUACUUGUAUUGUUUUAUUUUGAGUAAGAACUUUUAGCUCAUAUUUUUCAAGGAAUU
rnacentral:lncRNA from 1 species